rnacentral:rRNA from 1 species
CCUCGGGAACUGAGAAUAAUGCCCGAUAGAACAUUAUGCCUGGAAUGGUUUAUGUUCCAAAUGAUUUAUCGCCAUAGGAUGGGACUGCGGCCUAUCAGUUUGUUGGUGAGGUAAUGGCCCACCAAGACUAUUACAGGUACGGGCUCUGAGAGGAGUAGCCCGGAGAUGGGUACUGAGACACGGACCCAGGCCCUAUGAGGCGCAGCAGGCGAGAAAACUUUGCAAUGUGCGAAAGCACGACAAGGUUAAUCCGAGUGAUUUGUGCUAAACGAAUCUUUUGUUAGUCCUAGAAACACUAACGAAUAAGGGGUGGGCAAGUUCUGGUGUCAGCCGCCGCGGUAAAACCAGCACCUCAAGUGGUCAGGAUGAUUAUUGGGCCUAAAGCAUCCGUAGCCGGCUCUGUAAGUUUUCGGUUAAAUCUGUACGCUUAACGUACAGGCUGCCGGGAAUACUGCAAAGCUAGGGAGUGGGAGAGGUAGACGGUACUCGGUAGGAAGUGGUAAAAUGCUUUGAUCUAUCGAUGACCACCUGUGGCGAAGGCGGUCUACCAGAGCACGUCCGACGGUGAGGGAUGAAAGCUGGGGGAGCAAACCGGAUUAGAUACCCGGGUAGUCCCAGCUGUAAACUAUGCAAACUCAGUGAUGCAUUGGCUUGUGGCCAAUGCAGUGCUGCAGGGAAGCCGUUAAGUUUGCCGCCUGGGAAGUACGUACGCAAGUAUGAAACUUA